rnacentral:lncRNA from 1 species
GGUGAAAGUUAUAUUUAUUGAAAACUAGAUACACAAUGCUAGGGCAUGAAAUGCCUGCUAAAGAAUAAUGUAAGACUACAAGGCUUCCUUGUAGUGAAGAUUGUCCAAGAUCAUAAAAAGAAAGGGUGUGGCCCAUACACUCUUGAAGUUAAGCUGGACCCAGGGUACUCUGUAGUCAGAAGGCUGCCAGGAUCCCACUGAUGUCACUUUAUGGCUUUUGCCAUCAUUGCACUUAUCAGACCAGCUCUCCUUGUGGUUAAACUGUGUCCAACCUUCCUGGAGUAGUGGGUAUGGCUCAGGUCACACUUGAGGUCAGCUUCUCCUUGACUCUAAAGGGCCUCAUCUAGGAAGACCUGGGAACAGAGAAUUUCUGAGUGGAGCUCCCACACCUUUGAUUCCAAGGUGUCUCCUUGUUAUGUUCAUGCGUGACCACUUGAAAGCAAUGAUAUGGUCUUAACACAACUGAUAUGAGAUCGUUGCCUCUUUUGGAAGAAUGCCAGAUGCAGCCCACAAACCAUAGUGGUACACAAGGAGUUUCCAGAUUAUCAUUGAUGAGAUUCACAACCUAUGAUCUGAUGUCAGUGAUCUGUGCAGGAAUGGUAGUAAGUCCAAAUAUAUUGUGAUUAUUGAUCGACCUUGGUCACAAAUGAGGCUUUGGUUUGUUCUGGUUAUGGUAAAUGGUGUUAAACAUUUUUUUAUAUGGCCUGUCUUCAGAGUCACAGUUUGCAUUAGAAAUACACUUUUUCUUAGCAUGGUCCAUGCCUCUUUUUAAAAAAAAAAUGGCCUACAUCAAUAUCCUCUGCUUGCUAGGGUCCAGGCUUCAUAGAGGUCAGACCUCGGUCCACAUAUCUUCUACUUUGCCUUGGGCCUCUUGAGGAUUAGGGAAAGGGCCAGGCACCAAUUCUUGUUGUUUUGGCCUAGGCCUCUUCAGGGUCAGAGGUUGGCACAGGCUGCCCACAUUUCUGCUUAUUUUGGAUCUGGGCAUCUUCAGGGUCAGGGCUUGGCCUAGGCCAACAUCUAGUUUUGGGACAAGACUCCUCAGGUAAAGAGAUAGGCCCAGGCCCACACCAAUUCUUGCUUUUAGCCCAGGACUCUUCAAGGGUAAGGUAUAGGCCCAGGUGACAUCACUUCUUGCAUUUCGCCCAGGCCUCUUCAAGGGUCAGGGAUAGGCCUGUGCCCAUAUUGCUUCUUACAUUUGACCUGGGCCACUUCCAGGGUUAGAGAUAGGCCCACGCCAAUACCACUUCUUGUAUUCAGCUUAGGCCUCUUCAAGGAUCAUGGAUAUGCCCAGGCCCACACCACUUCUUGUAUUCGGCCAAGGCCUCUUCAAGGAUCAGGGAUAGACCCAGGCUGACACUUCUUCUUGCAUUGGGCCCAGGACAAUUUCAGGGUCAGGAAUAGGCCCAGGCCCACAUCACUUCUUGCUUUUGGCCCGGGCCUCUUCAAGGGUUGGGGAUAGACCCAGGCACACAUCACUUCUUCAUUAGGCCCAGGCCUCUUCAAGGGUCAUGGAUAGGCCCAGGCCCAUAUCGCUUUUUGGAUUAGGCCCGGGCCUCUUCAAGGGUCGGGGAUAGGCCCAGGCCCACAUCAAUUCUUGCUUUUGGCCUGGGCCUCUUCAAGGGUCAGAGAAAGGCCCAGGCCCACAUCACUUCUUCAUUAGGCCCAGGCCUCUUCAAGUUUUGGGAAUAGGCUCAGGCCCACAUCACUUCUUUUUUUGGCCCAGGCCUCUUCAAGGGUCAUGGAUAGGCCUAGGCAGACAUCUAUACUUCUUUUGCACCUGACCUCCAUCAAGUUCAGUUUGCCCAAGGCACAUACUUUUUUUCUGGUUUGUUUGACCAGCCCUGUUUCUUUUCAUUCCUACUUAUCUAGGUCCAGAAAUCUUCAGGGUCAGGGUAUCUGAUUCUUUUUUAGGAUUUAAAUAGAGUAUACUUUUGAGUUCAUAUUUUUCCAAAGCUACUUUGUUGUUAGCCUUGAUUUAUGAUCAAUAUUCCUGGGGAUGAAAGAGACAGAUAUUGAUAGACAUAUUUAGUAUCCUUCUCUGGCAUCCCAAAUGUACUCAGAUCAUCAUUGACCUAUCCUCUAGGAAACAUGCUCAGACAUUGACACAUAUAGUUUACAGUCCAGGUAAAACAAAUUAUACAUUAUACAAAUAGAAAGAUUAAUAAAAGGCUGUCUGGGCAAGCCCAUCCUGUUGCAUAGCUGUCCAUUAUUGUGGUAGAG